rnacentral:rRNA from 1 species
UUGUUGGUAAGGUAAAAGCUUACCAAGGCUUCGAUCAGUAGCUGGUCUGAGAGGACGGCCAGCCACACUGGGACUGAGACACGGCCCAGACUCCUACGGGAGGCAGCAGUGGGGAAUUUUGGACAAUGGGGGCAACCCUGAUCCAGCCAUGCCGCGUGAGUGAAGAAGGCCUUCGGGUUGUAAAGCUCCUUCAGCCGGAACGAAACGGUUACGGUUAAUACCCGUGACUACUGACGGUACCGGAAGAAGAAGCACCGGCUAACUACGUGCCAGCAGCCGCGGUAAUACGUAGGGUGCAAGCGUUAAUCGGAAUUACUGGGCGUAAAGCGUGCGCAGGUGGUUUUGUAAGUCAGAUGUGAAAUCCCCGGGCUUAACCUGGGAACUGCGUUUGAAACUACAAGGCUAGAGUGUGGCAGAGGGGGGUGGAAUUCCGCGUGUAGCAGUGAAAUGCGUAGAUAUGUGGAGGAACACCGAUGGCGAAGGCAGCCCCCUGGGUCAACACUGACGCUCAGGCACGAAAGCAUGGGGAGCAAACAGGAUUAGAUACCCUGGUAGUCCAUGCCCUAAACGAUGUCAACUAGUUGUCGGGCCUUAACGGGCUUGGUAACGUAGCUAACGCGUGAAGUUGACCGCCUGGGGAGUACGAUCGCAAGAUUAAAACUCAAAGGAAUUGACGGGGACCCGCACAAGCGGUGGAUUAUGUGGAUUAAUUCGAUGCAACGCGAAAAACCUUACCUACCCUUGACAUGUAUCGAAGCCCGCAGAGAAGCGGGUGUGCCCGAAAGGGAACGAUAACACAGGUGCUGCAUGGCUGUCGUCAGCUCGUGUCAUGAGAUGUUGGGUUAAGUCCCGCAACGAGCGCAACCCUUGUCAUUAAUUGCCAUCAUUUAGUUGGGCACUUUAAUGAGACUGCCGG